UGAUUGUACCGUGCUCGUGUCAGUUGCUGAAAACAGAGUCGAUAUUUUCCCUUCUGUUCUGUUGAAUUCAUUUUUAGCUCUGGUAAAAUGCCUCAACGUAACUUCUACAAGUUUUCCGUCCGUGUGAAGUAACCUUGUGUUCAGUUUUCAAUUGGCAACUGUGGUGGAUGCCCCAAUGUAAUCGCACAAGUUUUCCAUGUAAAUAGAGGAAUGUUUAAUCCACUCCGUGUUGCACUAAUGAGACUGUUGUUUCUUUCUGGCUCGAAGGUGUUGCAGAUUGAGCAAGUACUAUCAAUGAUCCGCGUGCCGGGCAGACUUGUGGGAGCCCCCCAACUCUGACGUUUUAGAGCAGAAAAACACACCCACCCACCAGACCAACACAGUAUAAGAUAAACGAAACUACUUCACGGACAAUUUUUUCUGAACGACACCUGCACGAUAGCUAAUCUUAGCGCCUACGGCUGUUCAGACUUGCCAAUGGAUGGUGCGAUACGCCAUGUCGUGCCAACUUCGGACGGCAAACAUCGUCUGUGUAGCAAUGCUCCGAGAUAAAAAAGACACGCUCUGACGUUCGUGGUGCAUGCCUUGACACACGGCAUGAUCGAGCCUCGCUGCCGCCGGCAUAUGUACAGCAGGCCGUGACGAGACGACCGCUUUCAACUCGACGGCUGCUCUGUUGAGCUUGAGCCCCGAGGAGCAGGAGCAGAGCCGCCGUUUUUCACUCGCCUGUAGCGUUAUUUGCCGUCGUGCUUCACCGAGUACACGGUACUAGAACAGUACGACACAUUUGACUCGUGUUCGUGUUCGGUUCUUGCGCUUUGCUUGCAGUUUUUUUUUUGGCCGAAGAGGAUAGCCGCUUCCUGUGGGCCGACAAUACCGGCGGCAGCCCCUUGUUUCCAGCCCAUUUAACACGGUUUUCGGAACCUUCUCAUCCGGUUUCCAAGUCGUGGGAACGUUCUUUCAUUUCAUGUAACAUUGUCCAUCAGCACUCAAAAAAAAAAUGUAACUUUGUCCAUGAGUCAAGAGACUUGAACUUUGAAACGCGUGCUCCAACUAAUCUAAUUCACGAAUAAACAGUAAACAUGGCAAAUACGGUAUGCAUCUCAUACCGAAACAUAAGCCUGUGAGCACGUACAGUACAUAGAACCGAAACAUCUACGAACAGUAUAUAUAUACGGCCAGCACAUGUACGAGGAAAUAGGGGAUGAACAAGUUAUACCCUCCGGUUGGCCAGGCCAACGCGGCGGCGGCGGCAGCAGCCUCGACAUCUGUCGAGGCCUUCUUCUUGGCGGCUUCGUCGUCAGCCAUGGAGUCGAUGCAGGGGAAGUAGUGGAAGUAGAGCCAGACGGGGACGGAGGCGGGGACGGAUCGGGACCAGUCGUGUCGAGACGCUCCCCAAAAACCUUAUUGCCGUUCUCCCGGGCAUGAUCUCGAACGACAGGGUUCCGGAGGCACCUGCUCUCCCGACCAACCGUGCACGCAGUCAUCGGGAUGGGAUCGCCGAAAGCAGCAUAGUGAGAGGAACAGCAGAUGACAUCUAGGGUUGUGCGAAAGGGAGCGAGUGAACUGAGUUAGGGUUCACUCCACUGGCCAUCGCCUUCUUAUAUAGGCCGUGGGGUAGAUGGUCCUGGGCUCAGGCCCACGACCGAGUCCGCGAAUGGCCCACGGUCCAACGUCUCGGACAGUGGCACUUCCGUAAGCGACUCGUUAAUUAAUCCAAGAUUAAUUAACCAUUCCUGACCGGCAAAAAUAAGCUUCGUCUCGACUCAUUCGUGCAACCCGUGGCUCGUACGCGUAUCGUGACGAGGCGAGGCAAGGCGGCCAGCGGAGGAGGAGGAGGAGCGCACGUGUACAACUCUUAUUCCCAAGCUCCCAAUAGCAAGUGGUAGAGCAGCCCUUAUAAAAAGGUCUCACUCUUCUUACUAUAGCAGUAUGGUACUAAACUUCCCACCAAACUUCCCACCACUUGUCGUACACAUGCAUGGGCCUUAGAGAUUAACCAGGGAUUAUUGUCUUAUAUGGGCCUAAGCCCAUCCCCAUCAAAUCUCGAGGCACAUAAGUUUGUCAACUAUUCCAAACAAUGUUUGAUAUACCAGAAUUUUCAGUGGAGACUAUUAAGUUGAACUUCCACCUAGAGCAAUAGGAUUAGACUUCUUCACAACUGAACACUGGAUUAUGCCUUGAAUUGUCAGUUUGGUGUGCAAAAGUUUCGCCUAUUGUCAGCUAAUACGUGGCUGCCGAAGGCUAAACCCCAUGGGUGGAGCUUAUUAGUCAUACUUCGUACCUUCAUGAGCUUCCUAGAGAUCAUCCAAUCUCAUAGACUGUGACCAGCAGUCGGGCUCACAUAGGUGUGUUCUGUUGGGGAACGUGGUAAUUUAAAAAAAUCCUAUGAUCACGCAAGAUCUAUCUAGGUGAUGUAUAGCAAUGAGAGGGGAGAGUGUGUCCACGUACCCUCGUAGACCGAAAGCGGAAGCGUUUCAAUAACACGGUUGAUGUAGUCGAACUUCUUCGCGAUCCAACCGAUCAAGUACCAAACAUAUGGCACCUCCGCGUUCAGCACACGUUCAGCUUGAUGACGUCCCUCGUGCUCUUGAUCCAGUUGAGGACGAGGAUGAGUUCCGUCAGUACGAUGGCGCGACGACAGUGAUGAUGAUGUUACAGGCCCAGGGCUUCGCCUAAGCACUAGAAUGGUAUGAUCGAGGUGUGUAACUGUGGAGGGGGGCACCCCACAUGGUUAGGAGAAACUUGUGUGUUCUAGGGUCCCCCCUGCCCCUGUAUAUAAAGGAGCAAGGGGGAGUGAGGGAGUCCUGGAUUUAGGGGUCCUCGGAAGCCGGACUAUAUACAUGUGUCGGACUGUUGGGCUAUGAAGAUACAAGAUAGAAGACUUUGUCCCGUGUUCGGAUGGGACCCUCCUUUGCGUGGAAGGCAAGCUUGGUGAUUCGGAUAUAUAGAUUCCUUUCUGUGUAGCCGACUUUGUGUAACCCUAGCCCCUCGGUGUCUAUAUAAACCGGAGGGUUUAGUCCGUAGGACAUGAACAAUCAUAAUCACAGGCUAGCUUCUAGGGUUUAGCCAUUACGAUCUCGUGGUAGAUCAACUAUUGUAAUACUCAUAUUCAUCAAGAUCAAUCAAGCAGGAAGUAGGGUAUUACCUCCAUAGAGAGGGCCCGAACCUGGGUAAACAUUUUGUCCCUCGCCUCCUGUUACCAUCAGCCUUAGAUGCAUAGUUCGACACCUCCUACCCGAGAUCCGCCUGUUUUGACACCGACAUUGGUGCUUUCAUUGAGAUUCCACUGUGACGUCGAAGAUAGGAUUGAUGGCCCGCCUUGUUAUCAAGGACAACAUCACCUCCGGAGGAGCCCUGGCCUCAGGCCAAACCCUCCGGCUGGGCGGCUUCACCAUGACCGCCCGUUCGGCCAUCGGGCCGACGAUGACUUCUCGGGUCUUCGAAAAUCGCCUCUGCAUCAGCUCAGAAUACUCCGAACAGAUGGAUCCAACGGAGUUAUCGUCCUUAAACAAACUCCUAGAUCGCAUCGCCGCCUUGGGAGUCGCUACAGACUACGAUUGGAUUGGGCUUAAACCCGAUCAGAGAGAAAUUGAAUCUCUGUCGAUCACCCAUCAGAUAGCAGUAGUGGAGGAGCAAUGCCACAACCCUUCCUCUAUAUUGAGGACAAACUAUGUCCGGAUUUCUGAGCUCACUAAGCCCGAUACCCGCCCACGGAAAGACGCGACUCGUACUCUAAACCUAGAGUCGGACCAUGGGCCAGAAAAAUUGGUCGAUAUCCCAGAGCUCGAACCGUUAAGCUCGAAAAUUCCUCAAGCUCUGAAUCCCAGAUUGGGCCAGGGUUCAGAUUUAAAUCGGCCCACCCACCUAGAUACAAGCGAUCUUACCCGCAUCAGAUAGCAGUCCCAAGAGACGGUCCAUCACUUUUGGGCCAAAUUCCUCCUUGUCAAGGACAAGAUCAAAGACUGCCACGAUGAAGACGCAAUCUCAUUAUUAUGCAAAAAUUGCAUGGACGAGGGAAUCCUCAAUGCCAUAAGCCGCCGUCACAUACCACACUUCACUGACUUGGCCACCAUAGUACAGAAGUACUGCGCAAUUGAAAGCGCCUGGAAAACUCAGGCAGCCUCUUGGGAGCCAUCGGUUUCCACUUGUAACGCCCGGAUAAUUAGGCUACAGUAAAACUCUCCUAAUGAUGCCAUGGCAUCUCUGUUACUGUUGCUAAUCAAAUGUUAGUUCAAAACAUUUCAAAUUCAAAAAUGAAUUAGUGACAAACACCCAAAGUUUUCAAAAGUUGAAACAAAAGUGUUCGGACAGUGCCAAAUAUGGCAUAGGUAAUUAUGGUGUAGAAGACACAAUUUUAUAAAAUAUUUAAAUGCAAAAAUUAAAUAGAACAGAAAACAAAGCUCAAAAGAAAAGGAAAAUAAAAGGAAAAAGAACAAACCCCCCUUCCCCCUGGGCCGAAAGGCCUAGCUAGCCAACAGCCAGCCACCCAACCGGCCUUGCCGGCCCAGCUCCCCGCAGCGCGCCCUCUUCCUGUUCCUCGGUUGCAUGCCGCUACAGGGCGCGGUCGCCACCGGACCCCCUCGCCGACGUCGAGGAGGAGAUAAGAUCGCCAGCGCCCCCGCCUCCUCGGGCCCCUCUCCCACUCACCCCGCUCUCCUCCCAGAUCUCCGCCUCUCCCUCUCCCCUCAGAUCCACCUCGCUCUCCCCCUUGCUCCCCACCGCAUCCGAGUGCCGUCAUGGCCUCGCCGCCAUAGAACUCGCGGCCACCGUGACCUCCGCACCUCUCCGACGUGUCCGCUCGCUCCACCUCCCUCGACUACGCCUCCCCGACGAGCCGCAGGACGCCGGGCGCCCACGAACGUUGCCUCGGCCUCGUCUUCUUCCUUGGAUCCCCAGCGCGUCUCCGACGAGCGCUAUCGACUCUGCAGCUACUAAACCCCCAAGGGCCUUUCGUGUGUGCCGCUCGGUAAGCUCCACCCCUCCCGCUGUCCGUUUGCUCUCUCGCAUGCCCUAGCUAUCUGCCACCGAAGCGCCCGAAUGCAGCACCGCGGAGCUCGUCGCCGACAAGUCUCCGGUGACCAAAUGGUCACUGGCGGUUUCCGUUGAACUUGCCACGUCGAGUAGGGCCCGACUAGCCCUCCCGUUUGCCCAAUAGCGCGCAGCAUCGCCGUUCCCUCUCGCGGCCGAACUCCGGCAUCCGCCUCUCUGCUCGUUGUCGCCGCUCCGGUGCACCUCCGGCCACACCACCGCCACCACUAGAUGCGGCUCACCACACCUGUUCGAACGCCACCUCCCGCGCUCAAAACGGACCACCGCAGCGGAUUUCCGGCCACCCCCCGAACCGCGCCGCCGCGAUUUGCCUUGCCGGCGUCGUUCUGGCGCCAUCCGCCGACGUGGCUAGACAGGCCCCACCCGUGGGUCACUGCCUGGUGGCCCCAGGGGCCCGGCUGGCCUAGUUGACUAUGGUCAACUUGCUGACUGGGCUGGUCCUAGCAGCUGACCAGUGGCCCUCGCCCUAUAAGCUAAUUAAAUUAGUUAAAUUAAUUAAUCUAGGCUAAUUAGUCACUGACUAAUGGGGCCCACACUUAGUUAAUCAUAAUUAGUUUACUACAAAUCCUAUUCCAACUCUGACUCAAUGACAGGUGGGUCCCACUGGACCCACAAGUCAGUUUUGACUCUAGUCAACCGCACUGUUGACUGCUGACAUCACACAUACGUCAUGCUGAUGUCAUCCCAUACUAUUCUAGAUAAUGUUGAUUUAAAUUAAUUAAAUAAAUUCUAGAAAAUGAUUAAAACUUUAGAAAACCAUAGAAAAUAAAACGUAGCUCGGAUGAAAAUACUUUCUACAUGAAAGUUGCUCAGAACAACGAGAAGAAUACGGAUACGCAGCCCGUUCGUUCACCACACACCCCUAACAUAUCGAACACGCAACUUUCCCCCUCCGGUUCAUCUGUCCGAAAACGCAAAACACCGGGAAUACUUUCCCGAGUGUUUCCCCCCUUCGCCGAUAUCACCUACUACCGCGUUUGGGAACCCUUGGCAACGCUCAUUGUCAUGUCAUACAUCGUCAUGCAUAUCUUUGCAUUGUAUUAAUUGUUUCUUCCCCCCUCUUCUCUCCGGUAGACUAUGAGACCGAUGUUGCUGCUGCCCCGUUCGACUACAGAGUUGACGACCCCUCCUUCUUGCCAGAGCAACCAGGCAAGCCCCCCCCCCUUGAUCACCAGAUAUGGCCUAUUCUUGUCUCUACUGCUUGCAUUAGAGUAGUGUAGCAUGUUACUGUUCAGUUACUCCUAUUCUGUUGCAUAGCCUGUCAUUGUUGCUACAGUCGUUGAUACAUUACCCACAAUCCUAAAUGCUUAGUAUAGGAUGCUAGUUUAUCAUCAUUGGCCCUACAUUCUUGUCAGUCUGCCUUGCUAUACUGUCGGACUGUGAAUACUCGAGAGGUGAUCACGGGUAUAUACUAUACAUAUAUACUUACUAUACAGAUGGUGACUAAAGUCGGGUCGGCUCGUUGAGUACCCGCGAGUGAUUCACGGAUUGGGGGCUGAAAGGACAUUUAUCCCGACGCCCUCUGUGUGGAUCUUUGUGGCGGAGCGACAGGGCAGAUUGAGACCACAUAGGCGAGAGGUGGGCCUGGCCUUCGUCGGCGUUCGCGGUUACUUCAUAAUAACACACUUAACGAGAGCUUGGUAUUUGAUCUGAGUCUGGCCACUAGCCUAUACACACUAACCAACUAUGCGGGAACAGUUAUGGGCACUCGACGUCAUUGUAUCAGCCGAAGCCUUCGUGACAUCAGCGACUGAGCGGCGCGCGCCGGAUUGGACCGUAAGCCUGCUCUUGUAUUAAAGGGGCUAGGUCUGCUUCCGGUCGCGUACGCAACGUGCAGGUGUGCAAUGGGGGAUGGGCCCAGACCCCUGCGCGCAUAGGAGUUAGACCGGCGUGCUGACCUCUCUGUUGUGCCUAAGUGGGGCUGCGACGUGCUGAUCUUCCGAGGUCGGGCAUGACCCAGGAAAGUGCGUCCGACCAAAUGGGAUCGAGCGUGUUGGGAAAUGUGGUGCACCCCUGAAGGGAAGUUUAUCUAUUUGAAUAGUUGUGUCCCUCGGUAAAAGGAUGACCCAGAGUUGUGCCUUGACCUUAUGACAACUAGAAUUAGAUACUUAAUAAAACACACCCAGACAAGUUCCAGAGACAUCCCGGUGAUCGCUUUCCCACAGGGCGACAAGGGGAGGAUCGUCGGGUAGGAUUAAGCUAUGUGAUGCUACUUGGAGGACUUCAAUCUACUGUCUUCUACAUGCUGCAAGUCGGAGGCUGCCAGAAGCAUAGUCUUCGAUAUGACUAGCUAUCCCCCUCUUAUUCUGGCAUUCUGCAGUUCAGUUCAGCGAUAUUGCCUCUUUACACAUAUACCCAUGCAUAUGUAGUGUAGCUCCUUGCUUGCGAGUACUUUGGAUGAGUACUCACGAUUGCUUUGCUCCCUCUUUUCCCUCGUUUUCCUCUUCUUCUCGGAUGCCACAACCAGACGUUGGAGCCCAGGAUCUAGACGCCACCGUCGACGACGACUACUACACUAGAGGAGCCUAUUGCUACGUGCAGGCCGCUGACGACGACCAGGAGUAGUUAGGAGGAUCCCAGGCAGGAGGCCUGCGCCUCUUUCGAUCUGUAUCCUGUUUGUGCUAGCCAUCUUAUGGCAACUUGUUUAACUUAUGUCUGUACUCAGAUAUUGUUGUUUCCGCUGACUCGUCUAUGAUCGAGCACUUGUAUUCGAGCCCUCGAGGCCCCUGGCUUGUAUUAUGAUGCUUGUAUGACUUUUUUAUGUUUUAGAGUUGUGUUCUGAUAUCUUCCCAUGAGUCCUUGAUCUUGAUCGUACACGUUUGCGUGUAUGAUUAGUGUAUGAUUGAAUCGGGGGCGUCACAAGUUGGUAUCAGAGCCAACGGUGUGUAGGAAUCCCCCUUCCACACUCCUUGGCUGAAGUCGAGUCUAGUCACUACAAAACUUUUACUAACUUGGCUGUGUGCCUUACGGGCCCACGUCGCCAUUGGGUGGUAUUAGGAUCUUUUACUCCUCGACCUUUACUCUGGGGCUCUGAACUCUCUUCUACUCGGGUUAAGUGAAUUUACUAACUCUAACAUUAGGAUCCAGUUACCACAUUCACCCCAAAAUUGGAUAAGCCAUAGUUGUUCUGUAGGAUAGUAUUUUGAAUAAUACCCACAUUGUCAUUUGACUCCGUUGAAACAUCUUUGUUUUCAGAUGGAACCCACAAGGCAGGUCGUGCGCCACACGACGGCCAUUGGUGCCUCAGGAUCACCUGCUGUGCUAGCUGAGAUGAUGACCUAUCUGGGUUAUCGCUGGCAUCCUGAGUACACCGUCUACGAGGAGUACCAGGACUUUAACCAGGAGCAGUAUCGUGCCAUCGUCCACCUCUACUCUCGGGAGUAUGACUCCACUACCAUGCUGCACACCGCUCAUGGUGUUGGAGUGACCAUGGAGAUGGCAGUUUACGAUGCUGCCUAUGCUGCUCUGACACGUCUUCAUGGAGAGUAUGGGGCGUUGGACACUUCCCCUUUUAGGCACAUUGCUAUCGCAUCCGACGUUGGUGCAGAGGGAUACUACACUGCUGCCUACUCCACCGUCACCCGAGAGCUCUUCCACCAUCAGAACCUGGUUCUGCAUGCUGAUGGGCUGGACCGAGCUAACCGAGCUCUUCGCCACAAGUUGUACACCACUCGUCAGCACCUUUAUAGGGCUCUGACGCUGUUGCACCCCUUUGUCCGAUCUAGACAGCUACCGUGUUCUGUGAUCUACCCAGCCAGGACAGUAAUGCCCCACGGUGUUGGUUGGCCAGAGAUGGGAGGCUACUCCACCGUACUUGGUCCUCUUCUGCCACCUGAGCAUCAGGUUCUACACCAGAGUAUCUGCGGCCCCCAGGCCACUGACAUGGACUAUCCGUUGCCUCACUACCAGUUGCCAGGCUACGACUACCUCCAUAGUACCUCCUGGGACUGAUGUAGUCUUGCUUAUUAGUAUUAGAUGCAUUCGCCGCGAGCCUGCGUGCUGCCUAUGAUGACUUAGUCUAUGUACUGAACUCUAUGUACUAAACUCUAUGUCCAACCCCUUUUGUAAGUUAUGCCGACUACUAUGUAGUACCUGUCGUGCUCCUUUCAUUAUGCAUGUUCCAUCAUGAAUGAUUUUUGUCUAUGCAAAUUUCUCAAUGCUGAACUACCCCCUGUUAUAUAUUAGCAAGAUGGAUAGACCAGGUGGUCAUGGUCGUGGCGGCAACGCCCCACCACCACCUGAGUACAUGGCUGGUAUGGUCCAACAGCUCGAGAUGAAUCGCCAGUUCAUGGAGAAUAUGAUGGCUCAGUUCUCUCGCCCCAAUAUGAACCAGCAGCCAGCCCAAGUGACUCUGCAGGAUUUCAUGUGCCUCAACCCAACCAUGUACCGCAGCUCAACCCAGCCGCUGGAUGCUAAUGACUGGCUCCGUGACAUCACCUAUGAGAUGGAGUCUGCUGAUGUAGCCCCUGCCCGCUAUGUCACCUUUGCUUCCUUCUUUCUGAAGGGACCCGUAGCUCAAUGGUGGGACAGCCACAGGCGUACACUGACAGUAGGAACAAUCAUCACCUGGCCAGACUUCUAAGCUGUUUUCCAUGCCCGUUUCAUUCCUCAGGGGAUCAUGGACAGGAAGAAGUGUGAGUUCCGCAACCUCACCCAGGGUAACAAAACUAUGGAAGCCUAUCGGCGGGAGUUUCUAGACUUAUCCCGCUAUGCUGAAGAAGACAUUGCAACUGAUGCUCGCAAACAAGAGAAGUUCCGCGAUGGACUACAAGCUAACAUCAAGCUCGCAUUGCUAGUGCAUGACUUUGCCGAUUUCGCCACCUUGGUGAGUAAGGCCAUCAAUGUCGAGACUGGUCUGCAGGAACACCAGAGAUCUCACAGGCGCAACCGUGACACAGGCUCAUCUUCGGGCCCGCCCUCGCAGAAGCAUAAGAUAUGGAUCCCGAACAGCAUGUAUCGUCCAACUGCACCUGCUCCAAGGCAGUCCUAUGCUGCACCUCGUCUGCCGCCUCCGCCAUCUAGGCAGUCCUAUGCUGCACCUCGUCUGCCGCCUCCGCCAUCUAGGCAGCCAAGGCUUCCAGCUCCACCACCCCAAGCUCUCGUUCCCACUCCCAAUAAUGAUCUGUGCUACAAGUGUGGUCAACCAGGUCAUCGUGCCAGGGACUGUAAUCAGAAUCGAAAUCAACUGGCCCUUCCUGCAGCUGGCCGUGGAAGCAAUCAGCCCCGCAGCAACAAUGCCAGGCCUUAUGGUCGUGUUCAUGCCAACCACGUUGACCUCAAUGAAGCUCAAGACCAGCCUGCUACUGUGAUGGGUAAACUCCUCGUAAAUUUAGUACCAGCAUCCGUUUUAUUUGAUACUGGUGCAUCGCAUUCAUUCAUGUCAGAAGAUUUUGCAUACAAGCACGACCUUAAAUGUGAGGUCAUAAACACUCCACUAGUGGUAAAACCCCCUGCCGUCCAGUGUCAAACCUCUAUGGUUAGUCACAAUGUUCCCGUUGAAAUCGAAGGGUUGGAAUUCUAUGCCUCUCCCAUUAUCCUGAAGUCGUCUAACAUCGACCUCAUUCUGGGUAUGGAUUGGUUGAAAGCGCAUAUUGCUUCUAUAGUUUGCGCCACUAAGACCGUCCAUCUGCUGCACCCUUCUGAUGAAAUAAUUAGCUACAAUGCUCGUCUAGUUCAGAAUGCCGAGGCAAGGCUUUAUGCGUUGAAUGCAUUGAACGCUACACUACUUGAGGGCAUUGAAAACAUUCCUGUCGUUCGCGAAUUCCAAGACGUCUUUCCUGAAGAACUUCGAGGGAUUCCUCCUACUAGAGCUAUCGAAUUCAUCAUCGACUUGAAACCAGGCACCACUCCUAUAGCCAAACGACCCUACAAGAUGCCGCCGCAUGAACUCAUUGAGCUUAAGGAGGAAAUCGACAAAUCUCUUCGCAAAGGUUUCAUUCGCCCAAGCUGCUCUCCUUGGGGAGAACCUUCUCUCUUUGUCAAGAAGAAGGAUGGGACAAACCGAUUGAUCCAAGACUACCGUCCUAUUAACCAGGCUACCAUUCAGAACAAAUAUCCUCUUCCUUGGAUCAAUGAUUUGUAUGAUCAACAGGUUGGUUUGUCAGUGUUCUCUAAACUCGACUUGAGGUUGGGUUACCACCAGUUCCGUGUUCGCGAAGAGGAUAUCACAAAGACGUAUUUGUGACUCGCUAUGGAUCCUACGAGUACACCGUCAUGUCUUUUGGAUUAACCAAUGCUCCAGCCACCUUCUCUAGUCUAAUGAACUAUAUCUUUAUGGAAUACCUCGACAAGUUUGUCGUGGUUUAUCUGGAUGAUAUCCUUGUAUAUUCCAAGAAUGACGAAGAACGUGCUGAACAUCUUCGUCUUGUUUUGGAAAAGCUUAGAGAGCAUCAACUCUAUGCCAAGUUCUCCAAGUGUGAAUUCUGGCUUCCCGAAGUAACUUAUCUUGGGCAUGUCAUCUCCAAGGAUGGUAUUGCCAUCAACCCCGAGCGAGUUCAGGCUAUUCACGAUUGGACUCCUCCAAAGAAUGUCAAGUAAGUCAGAAGUUUUUUGGGACUCGCCAGCUAUUGCCGUCGAUUCGUCGAGAACUUCUCCAAGAUCGCUAGACCUCAGACUAACCUGCUUCAUAAGGGCGUCAAUUUUGAGUGGACAGAAAAGUGUCAGGAAAGUUUCCAGGUGCUCAAAGACAAGUUGACUUCUGCACCAGUGCUUGCUCUCCAGAUACUAAGAAGGGCGUCAUCAUCUAUUGUGAUGCUUCACGUCAAGGCCUAGGCGUUGUCCUAAUGCAAAAGUGUAAAGUGAUUGCUUAUGCCUCUCGGCAACUACGCCCUCAUGAAGAGAACUAUCCAGUUCACGACCUCGAGCUUGCUGCUGUUAUACACGCACUAAAACAGUGGCGACAUUACCUUCUCGGUAAUCGUUGCGAGAUCUUCACCGACCACCAAAGUCUGAAGUAUCUGUUUACUUAGCCAGACCCGAACCUCCGUCAGCAGAGAUGGAUGGAGACUGUUGCAGAUUUUAACUUUGGUAUUUUGUAUACCCCAGGCAAGGCUAAUGUAAUGGCUGAUGCCUUGAGCCGCAAAUCAUAUUGCAACCACCUCCAGAUUCACAAAGCUUAGCCCUCGCUUGUUGAAGAAUUCAGAAAGCUGAACCUCCAUAUUGUUCCUCCUGGAGCACUCGCUCCCCCUCCCCCAGCGUUUCAAAAGAUGAAUAUUCGUAUUGUUCCUCAAGGUUCUCUAAAUACCCUCGCUGUCGAGCCAGUUCUCGUGGGUGAUAUCAAGACUAUUCAACAUUAUGACUCUAAAGUCGAGAAGAUUAAACGCUAUCUCUCAGAAGGAAAGCCCUCAUUCUUCACUAUUGUCGAUUAUGGUGCCUUGUACUUCAAAGGCCUCCUAGUGGUGCCAUGUGCGAGUGAAAACCUGAAUCUGACUCCAAGGGUUAUGAAAGAAGCUCAUGAUGCGCCUUUGUCUAUUCAUCCUGGUAGCACCAAGAUGUACCAAGACAUUCAUCAGAGAUUCUGGUGGUCUAAUAUGAAGCAAGACAUUGCUCGUUAUGUUGCUGAAUGUGACGUUUGCCGUCGUAUCAAAGUAGAACAUCAAAGGCCUGCUGGAACUCUGCAACCUAUAUCUAUUCCUGAAUGGAAAUGGGACCAUGUUGAAAUGGACUUCGUCACUGGAAUCCCCAAAUCGCAGAAAGGUAAUGAUGCUAUUCUAGUAGUCAUUGACCGGCUUUCUAAAGUUGCACAUUUUCUGGCUGUCAAAGAAACAAUCACUGUCAGCUGGCAACCCUCUACAUGUCCAGAAUUGUCUCACUACAUGGUAUUCCACUAGUUAUCAGUUCAGACCGUGGCAGUUUAUUCACUUCAAGAUUCUGGGCAAGUUUCCAAGAAGCUAUGGGGACUCAUAUGUCUUUCAGCACUGCUUUUACCCUCAGUCGCAAGGGCAAGUUGAACGUGUCAACCAAGUUCUCAAAGACAUGCUUCGGGCUUGUGUUAUCUCUUUUGGCAAGAAAUGGGAGGAAUCUCUCCCGUAUGCUGAGUUCUCUUAUAAUAAUAGCUAUCAAGCUAGUCUGAAGAUGGCCCCCUUCAAAGUGUUAUAUGGAUGAAAGUGUCGAACCCCUCUGAACUGGUCAGAAACUGGGGAACGUCCACUCUUCGGUCCGGAUAUUAUCCAACAUGCCGAAGAACAAGUUCGCAUUAUUCGCGAGAAUCUCAAGACUGCUCAGUCAUGUCAGAAGAGUCAGUAUGACCGUCAUCAUAAGGACAUGGUCUAUCAACCUGGCGAAAAGGCUUAUCUUUGAGUCACGCCAAUGAAGGGUGCUCAUCGCUUCGGGAUCAAGGGCAAGCUAGCUCCUCGCUAGAUUGGUCCUUUCACUAUUCUGGAAAGGCAUGGAAAAGUGGCUUACCAACUGGAGCUUCCGCCGAACCUUUUUCAGGUUCACGAUGUGUUCCACGUGUCACAACUCCGCCGCUGCUUUAAGGACCCAAUCAGAGCAGUGGAUCAUGAAGUGCUCGAGUUGCAACAGGACCUCUCUUAUAAAGAGCAUCUGGUUCACAUUGUCGACCAAGCUGAACGCCGCACAUGUCAGAAGGCGAUCAAGUUCCUCAAAGUCCAGUGGUCGCACCAUUCUGAAGAUGAAGCCACUUGGGAACGCGAGGAUUGCUUACGUGAUGAAUACCCCGCACUGUUUCCUUCUACCUCCUAAAUCUCGGGACAAGAUUUCUUGAAGUGGAGGAGAUUUGUAACGCCCGGAUAAUUAGGCUACAGUAAAACUCUCCUAAUGAUGCCAUGUCAUCUCUGUUAUUGUUGCUAAUCAAAUGUUAGUUCAAAACAUUUCAAAUUCAAAAAUGAAUUAGUGACAAACACCCAAAGUUUUAAAAAGUUGAAACAAUGUUCGGGCAGUGCCAAAUAUGGCAUAGGUAAUUAUGGUGUAGAAGACACAAUUUUAUAAAAUACUUAAAUGCCCAAAAUUAAAUAGAACAAAAAACAAA
rnacentral:lncRNA from 1 species